UACGUAGGGUGCAAGCGUUGUCCGGAAUUAUUGGGCGUAAAGAGCUCGUAGGCGGUUUGUUGCGUCGGCUGUGAAAUCCCGAGGCUCAACCUCGGGUCUGCAGUCGAUACGAGCAAACUAGAGUGUUGCAGGGGAGACUGGAAUUCCUGGUGUAGCGGUGAAAUGCGCAGAUAUCAGGAGGAACACCGGUGGCGAAGGCGGAUCUCUGGGCCUUACCUGACGCUCAGGCGCGAAAGCUAGGGGAGCGAACUGG
rnacentral:rRNA from 1 species